rnacentral:rRNA from 1 species
AUUGAACGCUGGCGGCAGGCUUAACACAUGCAAGUCGAGCGGGGAAGGGUAGCUUGCUACCUGACCUAGCGGCGGACGGGUGAGUAAUGCUUAGGAAUCUGCCUAUUAGUGGGGGACGACAUUCCGAAAGGAAUGCUAAUACCGCAUACGCCCUACGGGGGAAAGCAGGGGAUCUUCGGACCUUGCGCUAAUAGAUGAGCGUAAGUCAGAUUAGCUAGUUGGUGGGGUAAAGGCCUACCAAGGCGACGAUCUGUAGCGGGUCUGAGAGGAUGAUCCGCCACACUGGGACUGAGACACGGCCCAGACUCCUACGGGAGGCAGCAGUGGGGAAUAGUGGACAAUGGGCGAAAGCCUGAUCCAGCCAUGCCGCGUGUGUGAAGAAGGCCUUUUGGUUGUAAAGCACUUUAAGCGAGGAGGAGGCUACUUGGAUUAAUACUCUAGGAUAGUGGACGUUACUCGCAGAAUAAGCACCGGCUAACUCUGUGCCAGCCGCCGCCGUAA